rnacentral:rRNA from 1 species
UUGAACGCUGGCGGCAUGCUUUACCCAUGCCCGUCGCACGGUAACAGGCCUUCGGGUGCUGACGAGUGGCGAACGGGUGAGUAAUGCAUCGGAACGUACCCAGAGGUGGGGGAUAACGCAGCGAAAGCUGUGCUAAUACCGCAUGUGAUCUGAGGAUGAAAGCGGGGGACCGAGCAGCAAUGUUUGGCCUCGCGCCUUUGGAGCGGCCGAUGUCGGAUUAGCUAGUUGGUGGGGUAAAGGCCUACCAAGGCGACGAUCCGUAGCUGGUCUGAGAGGACGACCAGCCACACUGGGACUGAGACACGGCCCAGACUCCUACGGGAGGCAGCAGUGGGGAAUUUUGGACAAUGGGCGCAAGCCUGAUCCAGCAAUGCCGCGUGCGGGAAGAAGGCCUUCGGGUUGUAAACCGCUUUUGGCAGGAACGAAACGGUGUCCGCUAAUACCGGGCGCUAAUGACGGUACCUGCAGAAUAAGCACCGGCUAACUACGUG